AGCUUUGGAAGCGACACUGGACCAGACACUGAGCGCCCAGAGUCUGAUGAGAGGUUUACCAGAUCGCAGUGCAGCAGAAGGCACAGUUUUCGGUUAUUCCUACGAAGAGAUGCAGGGUGCAGGGAGAGGCCUGGCAAACAGCUCGGAGUUACAGCGGUCCCACAACGAGCAACAGUGACAGGAACAUGUCCAGCCCAACCUGAGGUGCUCCCGAGAAGCUGCGGCCGUGGGAUUUAUUUUUUUUUAGUUUUCUCAAGGAAGAAUGAAAAGCCCUGAGUGAGAGAGAGAGAGAGAGAGAGAGAGAAAGAAACCGAAUGACCGGAUUUUUGAGGAAUUGCUGUGUGGUAGCACUGUGUGUGUGUGUGAGAGAUAUAUGGUGUUUAAGGAAUAAACGAUCAGUUAUAUUUA